rnacentral:rRNA from 1 species
UCUUAAAGGUGUUGUCACAACAGUGGCAGGGAGCUUGUGGUUGCGAAUGCCAGCUACUACUACUGUGUGUCAAUUACUACUAUUACUACUACUACUACUAAUACUACUAUCGGGUAAUGUAAAUGAAUGGUGCCGUACUGUGCUGUGUAUUGGUAUAUAAGAUGGUAUAUGUGAUUUAUCCAAUAGUACGCACCUAUUUGCCUGAUAUGUGUAGUAGUGGUUAUAUUUAUUUUUUUUUAUAUUUAUGUUUUGUAGUAGUACUAGUAGUAGUUGUGAUUGACCCUAGUAGAGCGACAAUUCACUAAUCGUGGCCUAGUGUAUAUAUGUGUUAUUAGAUGGCACGAGGUGUGGAUUGUGGCUUAUAUAUAGAUAAAUAAUGGUAGAUGGCGUCCAUCAAUCCAUUCACUUAAUAAUUAUUAAGUGAUAUGUGUAUAGGUUACAUGCAUGCGUGUAUAGGUUAUAUGUAUGCAUGGCCAACCUGACCUCAGAUCAGUCGUGAGUACCCGCUGAACUUAAGCAUAUCAAUAAGCGGAGGAAAAGAAACUAACCAGGAUUCCCUUGGUAACGGCGAGUGAAGAGGGAAGAGCCCAGCACCGAAGCCUGCGACAGUUUUGCUGUUAGGCAAUGUGGUGUGAGGGUCGGUUGGCGGGAUUGUCACUCCACUCGAAGUCCAGCAUUGAGUAUGGCUAUCACUGGAUUUGGCCCAUAGAGGGUGAGAGGCCCGUACGAGUGGAGAUCCAGAUAUGUGUGACGAUUCACCAGGCCGACCUCAGAGUCGGGUUGUUUGAGAUUGCAGCCCAAAGAGGGUGGUAAACUCCAUCCAAGGCUAAA